AUAGAGAGUUACUUCGGUUACGAUCGUGGACAGGUGGCGCGAUGGUUGUCGUCAGCUCGUGUCGUGAGAUGUUGGGUUAAGUCCCGCAACGAGCGCAACCCCUAUUGUUAGUUGCCAUCAUUCAGUUGGGCACUCUAGCGAGACUGCCGGUAAUAAACCGGAGGAAGUGGGAUGACGUCAAAUCAUCAUGCCCCUUAUGACCUGGGCUACACACGUGCUACAAUGGUUGGUACAACGAGUUGCGAGUCGGUGACGGCGAGCUAAUCUCUUAAAGCCAAUCUCAGUUCGGAUUGUAGGCUGCAACUCGCCUACAUGAAGUCGGAAUCGCUAGUAAUCGCGGAUCAGCACGCCGCGGUGAAUACGUUCCCGGGCCUU
rnacentral:rRNA from 1 species